rnacentral:rRNA from 1 species
UACGUAGGGGCUAGCGUUAUCCGGAAUUACUGGGCGUAAAGGGUGCGUAGGUGGUUUCUUAAGUCAGAGGUGAAAGGCUACGGCUCAACCGUAGUAAGCCUUUGAAACUGAGAAACUUGAGUGCAGGAGAGGAGAGUAGAAUUCCUAGUGUAGCGGUGAAAUGCGUAGAUAUUAGGAGGAAUACCAGUUGCGAAGGCGGCUCUCUGGACUGUAACUGACACUGAGGCACGAAAGCGUGGGGAGCAAACAGGAUUAGAUACCCUGGUAGUCCCUGA